CCUACGGGCGGCAGCAGUGGGGAAUAUUGGACAAUGGGGGGAACCCUGAUCCAGCCAUGCCGCGUGUGUGAAGAAGGCCCUCGGGUUGUAAAGCACUUUCAGUGAGGAAGAACGCCUGGUGGUUAAUACCCAUCAGGAAAGACAUCACUCACAGAAGAAGCACCGGCUAACUCCGUGCCACCAGCCGCGGUAAUACGGAGGGUGCGAGCGUUAAUCGGAAUUACUGGGCGUAAAGCGCGCGUAGGUGGCUUGAUAAGCCGGUUGUGAAAGCCCCGGGCUCAACCUGGGAACGGCAUCCGGAACUGUCAAGCUAGAGUGCAGGAGAGGAAGGUAGAAUUCCCGGUGUAGCGGUGAAAUGCGUAGAGAUCGGGAGGAAUACCAGUGGCGAAGGCGGCCUUCUGGACUGACACUGACACUGAGGUGCGAAAGCGUGGGUAGCAAACAGGAUUAGAUACCCCAGUAGUC
rnacentral:rRNA from 1 species